rnacentral:rRNA from 1 species
AUUGAACGCUGGCGGCAUGCCUUACACAUGCAAGUCGAACGGCAGCACGGGAGCAAUCCUGGUGGCGAGUGGCGAACGGGUGAGUAAUAUAUCGGAACGUGCCCAGUCGUGGGGAUAACGUAGCGAAAGCUACGCUAAUACCGCAUACGAUCUAUGGAUGAAAGCGGGGGAUCGCAAGACCUCGCGCGAUUGGAGCGGCCGAUAUCAGAUUAGGUAGUUGGUGAGGUAAAGGCUCACCAAGCCGACGAUCUGUAGCUGGUCUGAGAGGACGACCAGCCACACUGGGACUGAGACACGGCCCAGACUCCUACGGGAGGCAGCAGUGGGGAAUUUUGGGACAAUGGGCGCAAGCCUGAUCCAGCAAUGCCGCGUGCAGGAUGAAGGCCUC